UUUUUUUGGGAAGCACUGAUGCUGAAAGUAUAGUCAACGCUCCAGCAAAAAAAUUUCAAGCUCCCUCUCCUUUUUUCAGACUCCCUCGCAACCUUGGCUCCUCUCCCUCGCAUUUUUUUUCAAUCCCUCCCAAACUCGCUCGCCAUUUUUCAGCUUCUAUCUCCUAAAAAAAUAAAACUUACAAUUUUUUUGGAUCUCCUCCAUCUCCUUCUUCUCUUUCCUCCAUCUAGACACUCGAAGUUUGGCCACAGCAAAAAUGACCUAAGGCCUUCGAAGAAAGGGAGAGCCAUAGGCAUCCUCCUCCUCGUCCAGAGAGAGCCAUGGAAGUCCCUUCAUUAGGGUUUUAACCUUCGGCGUUGGCAUCCUCUUUCUCGUCGCGUCGUCGUGUGAGAUUAUUUAAGUUAGGGUUUCAAUGUUUUGGGAAAUUUCAGUUAGGGUUUCAAUUUAUUGAGUAAUUUCUCUAAUCUUACUGUGUUUUUCUCUUUGCGGCUGGCUCAUUGUCUCUUGGAUCUCAUUGCCUCUCUGGGCUUUAAUCUAAUGUAUUGGGAGGUGACGGAUCUACGAUUUUCUCUUUCUCAAGAUUGCUAUAUCGCUCAACUCAUCUCUGUGUUCUCAGUUUCUCGCUCAAUUCGUAUCUGCUCUCACACUUUUCCUUACUCAUCUCUCCGCUCUUACUCUCUCACUAACCUCUGAAACCACAAACCCACCGAAGUCCCAACUUUUCCAAUUUUUUUGUGGUACUGCA